rnacentral:rRNA from 1 species
CAAGUCGAGCGAGAGGAAGUAGCAAUACUUUAGUACAGCGGCGCACGGGUGAGUAACACGUGGAUAACCUGCCUUGAAGUGGGGAAUAACCCCGGGAAACCAGAGCUAAUACCGCAUAAUCUGACGAAGUCUGCGGAUUUUGUCAGCAAAGGAGCAAUUCGCUUUAAGAGGGGUCCGCGGCUGAUUAGCUAGUUGGUGAGGUAAUGGCUCACCAAGGCCACGAUCAGUAGCCGGUCUGAGAGGACGGUCGGCCACACUGGAACUGAGACACGGUCCAGACUCCUACGGGAGGCAGCAGUGGGGAAUUUUUCGCAAUGGGGGCAACCCUGACGAAGCAACGCCGCGUGGGUGAUGAAGUAUUUCGGUACGUAAAACCCUUUCGACGGGGACGAAACCGCAAGGUUGACGGUACCCGUAGAAGAAGCCCCGGCUAACUCCGUGCCAGCAGCCGCGGUAAUACGGGGGGGGCAAGCGUUGUUCGGAAUUACUGGGCGUAAAGGGCGCGUAGGCGGUUUGCUAAGUUGGAUGUGAAAACUCUGGGCUUAACCCAGAGCCUGCAUCCAAAACUGGCAAACUUGAGUACUGGAGGGGAAAGCGGAAUUCCUGGUGUAGCGGUGAAAUGCGUAGAUAUCAGGAGGAACACCGGUGGCGAAGGCGGCUUUCUGGACAGUAACUGACGCUGAGGCGCGAAAGCUAGGGGAGCAAACAGGAUUAGAUACCCUGGUAGUCCCUAGCCCUUAAACGAUGGAUACUUGGUGUGAGGGGGAUUGAAUCCCUUUCGUGCCGUAGCUACGCAAUAAGUAUCCCCGCC